rnacentral:tRNA from 1 species
CAAGAUGUAGUUUAAAAUAAAAUUCUAGCUUUGGGAGUUAGUGAUGUUAUCUGGUAACUGUCUUGA